rnacentral:rRNA from 1 species
AUCAUACCAGCACUAAAGCACCGGAUCCCAUCAGAACUCCGAAGUUAAGCGUGCUUGGGCGAGAGUAGUACUAGGAUGGGUGACCUCCUGGGAAGUCCUCGUGU